rnacentral:rRNA from 1 species
CACGUAGGGGGCAAGCGUUGUCCGGAAUUAUUGGGCGUAAAGAGCUCGUAGGCGGUUUGUUGCGUCGGCUGUGAAAUCCCGAGGCUCAACCUCGGGUCUGCAGUCGAUACGAGCAAACUAGAGUGUUGCAGGGGAGACUGGAAUUCCUGGUGUAGCGGUGAAAUGCGCAGAUAUCAGGAGGAACACCGGUGGCGAAGGCGGGUCUCUGGGCAACAACUGACGCUGAGGAGCGAAAGCGUGGGGAGCGAACAGG